rnacentral:miRNA from 1 species
UGCGUUUCUCCUCUUGAGCAG